ensembl:antisense Gm29529 predicted gene 29529
AAUCAACGGCAGCAUCUCACUCUUUAGGUUUACUACUGCUUCUCAAACUGCUUUCCUGGGCUUUAUUCCUCAGGAUUCUAGAUGAAAUGUUGUGGAGGCUGAAGUCCAGAUAGGCUUAGUUUCGUGAUGUAAGUAAGGCCAGCCAGAACUCCAGGUUCUCCUCGCUGAACUCCGUCUUCAAGAAGGCACGGAAGGCUGCCACCCCAUCUGUGGAUGCAGAAAGAAACGGGAGAAAAGACAGACAGGAAGAAGCUUAAGAUCAAAGAUUGCAGAUGAAGGAGACACAAUACCAAUUUGUCAGCAUCCUGACUAGUCAAGCCUGUUGCUCCUCCACACCUAAUGACACACAACUACUCUAGGAGCAAGCCAUGUUUCUUGUCCAUGGGCCAGCAUGCAGGGAGAAAUGUUUAUAUCCCAUAGUGACAAUAGUGGUCAGUUCUGAUUAAACCCUCAGAGUUUACUGCCUUUCCACUAAUGCCGAGUUGGCUAAACCCCCGAGUCUGCGGGUAAACCAAGGUAAUAGGCACUAUACUUCUAUACCCUAAGCUGAGUCCACACCAGAGAGAAGACUCAGGCAGUCGUAAGACAAACUGGAUGGGAAUGUCUCAGGGCCAAGCCUUUACCACUAUCAGAGAAAUAUCCAACAGAAAUCCAGUCUGUACUACACCCUGCUGCAUGGAUAGUGUUCUCUGUCUCUUUUAGAAAACCUUUGAA